AGUGAGCACCCCUUCCAAUCGUUGUGAAUUCGAAUUAAAAUCAACAUCAGACCGUACGGUUUUUUGUUGAGGAACAGGAUUCAUGCAGGUGUCUACGGGGUUUCGUGAAAGUGCGUCGGCGUUGGCGUUAACCUUUCCAGAUGUUGGAUCCUUGACAUUGUGUAACCAUACCAAGGGUCUAUGGUCCGUGAGCAAUGUAAAUUGUCGGCCAUAAAGUGAUCUGGAGGCAUACGCGACUGGGAGAUCUUUUCCCACUGGUCCCUGACUAAGAAUGGCGCCAAUGGCAUAAUUAGAAGCAUCCGUAGUAACGAGGAAUGACUGCGAAAAAUUCGGGAACUGUAAUAGAGGUUCAGCACAGAUGAUAUCUCUUAAGGUUUCGAAGGAAGUUUGCACGUCAGCUGUCCAACAAAAAGGCUGAAGGGUUAAUCCAGCGCUUUGUAACCGAGCU